GACGAACGCUGGCGGCGUGCUUAACACAUGCAAGUCGAACGGAAAGGCCCUGCUUUUGUGGGGUGCUCGAGUUGCGAACGGGUGAGUAACACGUGAGUAACCUGCCCUUGACUUUGGGAUAACUUCAUGAAACUGGGGCUAAUACCGGAUAGGAGCUCCUGCUGCAUGGUGGGGGUUGGAAAGUUUCGGCGGUUGGGGAUGGACUCGCGGCUUAUCAGCUUGUUGGUGGGGUAGUGGCUUACCAAGGCUUUGACGGGUAGCCGGCCUGAGAGGGUGACCGGCCACAUUGGGACGGAGAUACGGCCCAGACUCCUACGGGAGGCAGCAGUGGGGAAUAUUGCACAAUGGGCGGAAGCCUGAUGCAGCAACGCCGCGUGCGGGAUGACGGCCUUCGGGUUGUAAACCGCUUUCGCCUGUGACGAAGCGUGAGUGACGGUAAUGGGUAAAGAAGCACCGGCUAACUACGUG
rnacentral:rRNA from 1 species